rnacentral:sRNA from 1 species
GCCAGGUGUGGUGGUGCACACCUGUAAUCCCAGUGUCUCAAAAGGCUGAGGCAGGAGGAUAGCAAGUUCAAAGCCAGCCUCAGCAAAAGCGAGGUGCUAAGCAACUCAGUGAGACCCUGUCUCUA